AAGCUAUGCUGGGGAUGUGGUAUCUCGUCCCGUACAGUCUGGUACAGGACAAGAGAUGAAAAGGGAAUCCCGAGAAUUUCGGGAACUGUGCCGCAACUGUAAAGUCAGGAGACCGACCACAUUUUUCAUUUCCCG
rnacentral:ncRNA from 2 species